rnacentral:rRNA from 1 species
UACGUAGAAGACUAGUGUUAUUCAUCUUUAAUAGGUUUAAAGGGUACCUAGACGGUAUAAUUAGUCUUUAACAGGAAACGGUUAUACUAGAGUUAUAUAUGAGGAGGUGAGUAUUUGUGGAGUAGAGUUGAAAUUCUUUGAUACCAUGAAGACUGGUAAAGGCGAAAGCAACCUUUUAUCUAAUAACUGACGUUGAGGGACGAAGGCGUCGG